rnacentral:rRNA from 1 species
GUGGAUUAGAUACCCUAGUAGUCCACGCCGUAAACGAUGAAUACUCGGCAUCUGGCGGGCGAUCUUCGUUCGCCGGGUGCCCCAGCUAACGCGGUAAGUAUUCCGCCUGGGAACUACGAGCGCAAGCUUAAAACUCAAAGGAAUUGACGGGGGCCCGCACAAGCAGCGGAGCGUGUGGUUUAAUUCGACGCAACGCGCAGAACCUUACCCAGGUUUGACAUGUGACUGCAAGCCGUGGAAACACGGUCGCCUUCGAGGGUGUCACACAGAUGCUGCACGGCUGUCGUCAGCU